rnacentral:rRNA from 1 species
AGGACGAACGCUGGCGGCGUGCUUAACACAUGCAAGUCGAGCGGAAAGGCCUUUCGGGGUACUCGAGCGGCGAACGGGUGAGUAACACGUGAGUAAUCUGCCCAUCGCUUCAGGAUAGCCAUCGGAAACGGUGAUUAAUACUGGAUAUGACAUUCCUUCGCAUGUUGGGGUGUGGUAAAGUUUUUCGGCGGUGGAUGUGCUCGCGGCCUAUCAGCUUGUUGGUGGGUAAUGGCCUACCAAGGUCUUGGACGGUAGCCGGCCUGAGAGGGUGACCGGCCACACGUGGACUGACGACGACGGCCCAGACUCCGUACGGGAGGCAGCAGGUAGGGAAUAGUUGGACAAGUGGGCGGAAGCCUGAUCCAGCAACCGCG